rnacentral:rRNA from 1 species
GAUGAACGCUGGCGGCGUGCCUAAUACAUGCAAGUCGAGCGAACGGACGAGAAGCUUGCUUCUCUGAUGUUAGCGGCGGACGGGUGAGUAACACGUGGAUAACCUACCUAUAAGACUGGGAUAACUUCGGGAAACCGGAGCUAAUACCGGAUAAUAUUUUGAACCGCAUGGUUCAAAAGUGAAAGACGGUCUUGCUGUCACUUAUAGAUGUAUCCGCGCUGCAUUAGCUAGUUGGUAAGGUAACGGCUUACCAAGGCAACGAUGCAUAGCCGACCUGAGAGGGUGAUCGGCCACACUGGAACUGAGACACGGUCCAGACUCCUACGGGAGGCAGCAGUAGGGAAUCUUCCGCAAUGGGCGAAAGCCUGACGGAGCAACGCCGCGUGAGUGAUGAAGGUCUUCGGAUCGUAAAACUCUGUUAUUAGGGAAGAACAUAAGUGUAAGUAACUGUGCACAUCUUGACGGUACCUAAUCAGAAAGCCACGGCUAACUACGUG